GGCCCUUUAAAUCAGGGCAGAGCGGUCAGCCUUCCAGGUGUUCCUGCCUCUCUUGAUCCCUGCAGCUGCUUCCUUCCAGCCAGGGGAUGAGGCUUUUUCCCUCUGCAAGUUGCUCCCUUUUCCUCUCUUUUCAGAGGCAGAAAAGUAUGCCCGUGGGUGCCCAAAGCUGGCAGUGCAUCCUUGCUGUGCUGUGCUGUGCAACGUGCCACAUCUGUCUCAGCAGCGUGCCUGGGUAUGGAAGAGGAUGGUUUGAUUGCUUGAGAAGGGGAGAAGCAAAAGCAAGAAGAACCCCAAUGCUCCUCUGGACGUCAGCAUGGAGACAGCAAAAUGGCAGCUUUGCAUUUGAUCCUAGUGCCAGGAACAUCUCCCAGUGCUUCGUUCUCCCACCCAUGGGCGACUGGCGCCUCUUGAGUCUGCAGGGGGCACCCGCAAAAGCUGUCGGCAGCGUGAGUGGCAGGGACAGCCCUGUCAGGGGCAUGUGCCCCCCCCAUGUUCCCCUACCGGUCGCCUAUGCUCCCACCCGUAUGCCAUAGGCAUUGUUUGGAAGAGAGCUGGCUUCUGGUCCAAUGAAACUACAAUAAAGAAGAAGAUUUUGAGUGGAACUGGACAGCUCAGGGAUCUGCUGGGCCAAUAGAGAACAGGAGCAAGAAAAGCCUGGAGGGAUGAACCCUGAGGACGGCAAUAGCAGGUCAGGACCGAGAUGUGCGAGUGGUUCAUUGAGGAGAGUCUCUGUACACAACAAGAGCAAGACUGCUGCUGGGAUGAUGUGUCUACUUGUGGUGUCUGCACUUUAAGAAAGAAGUUGUAAAGCUGGGAAGGGAUUCCAGAAAGAGCUGCAAAAAUACCGGAGCACUGCAGAUCUGCUGUACAGAGGGAGACUUUAAAAAAGCUUGCUUUAGUUUAUCAAAGAGAAGGGGAAGAAAAGAUUGGAUCACAGGCUACAAGGACCUAGAUGGGAAGGCGAUGUCUGAGAGCAAAGGGACUUUUAAUUUAGCAGAUGAAGGCGUAAGAAGCUGGAAGCUGAAAUGAGAUAAAUUCUGGCUCAGACAUAGCGUGUCAAUCUUGUGCAGUUAGGCUAGUUAACCAUGCAACAACUGAGGCCAAUUUCCCAUUGCUUCAUUUUAUUGAAGUCCAGAUUGGAUGUGUUCCUAACAGAUGCACAUUCGCUCAGGCAGAAGGUACGGGCUGGACUCAGGAAGCAGCAGGUGUUUUUUUUCUUCUGACCUGUGCAGUAGUAUAACCUGGGGGCAAGGGGUGAACAGGGCAUCAGCCUCAAGCAGUAACUUAGGGGGAGUCCCCCCAGCUGAGUGUGUGCCCCAGUGACCUUGCCUCGUCCUUGUUCUGUGAGUAGCCUUGCACUUUCCAGGGCUGCCUAUGCCAGGUGGUGAGUGCAUUUUAAACCAUAACUAAGGUAAAAUGCUGCAGGUAGCUUGGUGAUGGUGCCCGGCGCUCUCAGUGUUUGAUGAGAGAUGCAAACCCCUUAAAUGAUGGAGCCGAAAAGAUCGCUGGGUUUAUCUGAAUGUCAGAUCUUCUGGGUCCAAGCUCUGUUUAUAAGAAGAGAAAUGCACUCAGUAUGUGUCUGGCGGGAAUAUUGAUUGAGGGAAGCAUUGGAAAGGGGACAUAAUGUAGGACAGGAAUACGAGAUGCCCAAAAGAUUAGCAUAGGUUAAUUCUGAAAGGGAGCGAGGGAUGCGUUCCAAAUACUGAUUAGCCUGGACGUUGCCAGACGGAUGUGACAUUCAGCAAAGCACGGAGGGCAGCUGGAUGCACCAUACGUCUCCCGUACCAGGCAGGAGCCACGUGACACUCUCUGGGGCAAUAAAAGCCACGUGCAACCAGCUGCUGUCUGCCACUGCCUUCACUUUUGCAUUUGGGGACCCGAGGAAGUUGGCAGAAGGGUACCUGGGUGUUCAGAAGAAAGGGGAUAACUGCUGUGUGAAUGUGGGGGGUAGUUUAGAGAUGGCCAGGAGUGAGAUGGGAGGUGUGUGGGGGUGGAGGAGAUCUCCCAGCUUUGAGAUAAGCUCAGGGAAAGCUGAGAUGACGUUCUGCAUCUAAAGGAUUGGCGUGGCCUCAAGGACCCGUGUCUGAGGGCUUCACAGUCCAAAUGCAUUUAUUCUGCACUGUUGCCCUCAACAUAUUGUUGCAGGGAGGCUGAAUGGCCUUCUCCAGGACAUCCCAGGAGCCAGGCUCUGAGCCAGGCUUCAGAACCAGAUCCCCAGACUUAGGGGCUCUUCUGUAGUGGUCCAGACAGGGCUGCCGAGAAGCCCACCCCUGCCCACAACAUCCUGCUGCACCCACACCCACCCUGGAUAUGAGGCCCCAGGAGACCUCCCCGCAAUACUGCUCCUAAAUAUGCUGGAGAUUGAGAGCUCAAGAGCAUUGGGGGUAUUCCUGUAGCCUCAUUUCUGGGCAUGACACAUGGGGAACAGAAGAGGCCAGCCAGCAGAGGUGUACCUAGUACUUCUGGGGUGCGUCUACACAUGCACUUUAACGUGCAUUAGCCUAUUUUCAUGUGCAUUUAAGCGUCGCUAAACAAAACCAUGCUAUUUGGCUAAUGCACAUUAAAUAGUCUGAUACACAUUAAGUGUUACUUAAAAACCUUUAGUUAACGUGCAUUAAGGCAGGUUAAUGUGCAUUUUCUUAGUAGCAGAUUUAAUGUGCAUUAACUAAAGUGCACUAAUGCACAUAUAGACAUGCCCCUGCUGCCCUGGGUAUGGAUGUUGUCAGCUGGGAGAAGGGCAGGCAACUUAGUGCAUUGUGGCAUUGCCAAUGGCUUCUUAGCACGUGGAGCAACAUGACCUCCUGCUCCUUUGUGUUGUGUGGCUCCUGGAUAAUGGCCAUUGAUCCCUUUCUUCCCUGCAGGGAUGAGCAUGAUCAGGGUUACUGUUAGAUCCAGUGGAUAAUUUGGGGUUUUUAUUAUUAUUAUCUUAAAACUUCAAUCAAAUUUCAAAGCCCCCCAAAACUGUCAUUAACAUUGGUUCCCCAUGCCAGACCUGGUCAAAAACUUCACAUUGUAAAUGGUGUGUUUCUAUAAGUUAGAAAAAUGUCUGUGCUAUCCUACCCACCGCUCCACAGCCAGUCCAGGCAAUCCCUCCGUUUUGGUGCAGGGGUGCUGGAUUUGCAAGAACAUCUCUAACAGAUUCUCCUAAAGGUGCCCAAAAUUUCCUUCCCUGAGGGCUGCAUGGGCAACGUGGUGGCAGCUUCAGAGUCGUAAUGAGACCGUGACCUGCAGUCAGGUCCGUGCAGAUGCAACGGUUCGCUGCCGGGGUGUUAACUUCUAUCACAUAGAGGAAAUGUCAGUGUCAAUGAUCUUUUAACGAGAAGUUUCUGCCAACCGAUUCUACAGGACUAAGGUUGUCAUUAGCACUAUGUAACAACAGCUUUAUUGAACCAGAUCCUUCCAAGCAAAACCCAUUCUUGUAGAUGGCAGUCUUUAUAUUAACUAUUGAUAUUUGCACAUAUAAGCAGAGAUUUUUCUUUCUUAACUGUCACUCCCCCGAUACACGUGCGAUGAAGCAAAGCUCGUUAGCAGGGAGUCAGCAAUGAGCCUUGCAGUGACAGAAGCCAGCUCUUCUCAGGACAAAACCUACUCAAGUAGAUGUUGUUGAUUUUUAACUCCUUGAAUGGAAAAAUUAAGCCACUGGUCUCCUCAAGGGGAAGCUGAGAUGUGCCUAUACUGCCUCCCACGUGCUUCUGAGGCUGCCAGCCCAGGAAGAAAACAAUCCCACCAACUUACCAAAAUUACUGUGAAGCCGUGUUUUACAGUGUGCUCAAGGAUACUGUUGGGACCUGUGCCCCAGGGUCAUUGUGGUGGUGGCAUAGACAUGCCCCAAAGGCCACUGGUGAGCAGAUGCUGCUCCUGAUUGACCAGAGUGGAGUUAUCUCUGUGACAAAGUGCAGACAUGGGGCUAGCCGUCUGGCACAGGAGAUGACCACUUGAGAACUGGCAUUUGAUAUACAGGCAAAGCAGGGCUCCUCAAGCCGUUCUGGAUUUUAGCCCUGAGCUCCUAGAGAAGGCAAAGUCCCUGCCAUCUACAACACUGAUCACCCGCAGCUUUGUUUUUAAAUGAGGAGGGCAGCAGGGUGGGUCAGCACGCAGGUCCAACAACGCGUGCUAACUUUUCCAUACUCAGAAGAGACCUGCAGCUCUCUGCCUGUGGCUGGACAAGACGGAGUUGGUUAUCAUGGGAAGUGGUUCACUCAACAGUUAUGUUUUUUUUGUUAAUGAAUACCAUAUUUUCCUACAUAUAAUACACACUUCCCUCCAAAAAACUGACACUGGAAAUUGUAAUGCGCAUUAUAUGUGAGAAAUACGGUAAGAGCAGUUUCUGCUGCUCACUGGACAAACGUGAACAUAAGAGCUGGAGGAGUCUCACAGGGAGGGGAAGGAUGAGCAGGCUCAGGUCCUCAGCUGCUGGU